CCUACGGGGGGCAGCAGUGAGGAAUAUUGGUCAAUGGACGAGAGUCUGAACCAGCCAAGUAGCGUGAAGGAUGACUGCCCUAUGGGUUGUAAACUUCUUUUAUAUGGGAAUAAAAUGUUCCACGUGUGGGAUUUUGUAUGUACCAUAUGAAUAAGGAUCGGCUAACUCCGUGCCAGCAGCCGCGGUAAUACGGAGGAUCUGAGCGUUAUCCGGAUUUAUUGGGUUUAAGGGGAGCGUAGGUGGAUUGUUAAGUCAGUUGUGAAAGUUUGCGGCUCAACCGUAAAAUUGCAGUUGAAACUGGCAGUCUUGAGUACAGUAGAGGUGGGCGGAAUUCGUGGUGUAGCGGUGAAAUGCUUAGAUAUCACGAAGAACUCCGAUUGCGAAGGCAGUUCACUGGACUGCAACUGACACUGAGGCUCGAAAGUGUGGGUAUCAAACAGGAUUCGAUACCCCUGUAGUC
rnacentral:rRNA from 1 species